rnacentral:rRNA from 1 species
UACGUAGGUCCCAAGCGUUGUCCGGAUUUAUUGGGCGUAAAGCGAGCGCAGGUGGUUUAAUAAGUCUGAUGUAAAAGGCAGUGGCUCAACCAUUGUAUGCAUUGGAAACUGUUAGACUUGAGUACAGUAGAGGAGAGUGGAAUUCCAUGUGUAGCGGUGAAAUGCGUAGAUAUAUGGAGGAACACCGGUGGCGAAAGCGGCUCUCUGGACUGUGACUGACACUGAGGCUCGAAAGCGUGGGUAGCAAACAGG